AUUGAACGCUGGCGGCAGGCUUAACACAUGCAAGUCGAGCGAGCGGCGGACGGGUGAGUAAUGUCUGGGAAACUGCCUGAUGGCGGGGGAUAACUACUGGACACGGUAGCUAAUACCGUAUUACCUCAGAUGUCCCCAGAUGGGAUUAGCUAGUAGGUGUGGUAAUGACUCACCUAGGCGACGAUCCCUAGCUGGUCUGAGAGGAGUACAAGCCACACUGGCACUGAGACACGGUCCAGACUCCUACGGGAGGCAGCAGUGGGGAAUAUUGCACAAUGGGCGCAAGCCUGAUGCAGCCAUGCCGCGUGUGUGAAGAAGGCCUUCGGGUUGUAAAGCACUUUCAGCGGGGAAGCGUUACUCGCAGAAGAAGCACCGGCUAACUCCGUGCCAGCAGCCGCGGUAAUAC
rnacentral:rRNA from 1 species